CACAGUGUACAGCGCUCCAGCCAGUAACUGACAAAAAGGAUUUGGGGGUGGGGGGAGGGACGCGAUGAGGAGGAGGGAGGGGCGAGCUAGUCUAAGUUUUGUUUGAAAACACUUUGAACGUCAUCAAGAAGUGACGUCACCCAACACUGCUUAGAGCACCUUUAAUU